rnacentral:rRNA from 1 species
UUAGAAGAAAAUAUUAAAAGCUAGAUUAGUAGUAGAUAAGUACUUAAAAAUUAAAAAAUUUGGCGGUAAUUUAAUCUUUUCAGAGGAAUUUGUUUUUUAAUCGAUAAACCACGAAAAAUCUUACUUAUUUUUGUUAAAAUUCAAGUUUGUAUACCAUCAUUAACAGGAAUUCUUAAAAGAAAAAUUACUAAAUAUAAAUUAUUAUAAAAAUUAGAUCAUGGUGCAGCUUAUAAAUAAGAUAAAAUGAAUUACAAUAAAUUAUUUUAGAUGGAUUAAUAAUGUAAGGAUUAUUAUGAAAGAGGAUUUGAUUGUAUUAUAAGUUUAAUAAGCUUAUAAGAUAUAAGUUCUAAAUUAUGUACAUAUCGCCCGUCGCUUUCGUUUAUAAACGAAAUAAGUCGUAACAUA